GUGAGAUAACGGCUCACCAAGGCGACGACGGGUAGCUGGUCUGAGAGGACGAUCAGCCACACUGGGACUGAGACACGGCCCAGACUCCUACGGGAGGCAGCAGUGGGGAAUCUUGCGCAAUGGGCGAAAGCCUGACGCAGCAACGCCGCGUGGGGGAUGAAGGCCUUCGGGUUGUAAACCCCUUUCAGUGGGAACGAAAUUGACGGUACCCACAGAAGAAGCCCCGGCCAACUACGUGCCAGCAGCCGCGGUGAUACGUAGGGGGCGAGCGUUGUCCGGAUUCAUUGGGCGUAAAGAGCUCGUAGGCGGCUUGGUAAGUCGGGUGUGAAACCUCCAGGCUCAACCUGGAGACGCCACUCGAUACUGCCCUGGCUAGAGUCCGGUAGGGGAUCACGGAAUUCCUGGUGUAGCGGUGAAAUGCGCAGAUAUCAGGAGGAACACCAGUGGCGAAGGCGGUGAUCUGGGCCGGUACUGACGCUGAGGAGCGAAAGCGUGGGGAGCGAACAGGAUUAGAUACCGUGGUAGUCCACGCCGUAAACGUUGGGCACUAGGUGUGGGGCCUUAUCGACGGGUUCCGUGCCGCAGCUAACGCA
rnacentral:rRNA from 1 species